GCAGGGGCAAAGGAGGAAGCCAGGGAAAGGCCCCGAGUCUAGAAAAAGCAAGUCCAUGCUCUGGAAGCCAGACUCUGGCUCUCUACGCCUCAAAGGAAGGAACUAGCUGUGCUAAAAUCUGGGAGAGCCUGGUCCCAGGCUGAUGGGGAAGCAGCGGGUCACAGUGGGUGAGGUAAAGCUGGCUCCCACUCCCUCUUGAAGGGCCCAGGGGAGGCUAAAGAGCCUAGUGGGCCUUGUUCCUGAAAGACUCUCCCCUCCCCCAGGGCCCCAUGCCCCUCAGGCUUGGCCCAGUCUCAGGGAAGACUGCUUCUUCAAGUCUCCACCCAGGCAACCAUAGAGAGGUACCCUGGGCCAAGCUGAGGGCUGUGAUGCUUUCCCUAUACCCUGGCCUCCCCUUCCCUCCCAAGGGCCCAGUACCCAUAGGGAUCCCUGCCCUCCCCCCCAAGAGAACCACAGGCCAGCAACUUCAGGUCCCUGUGGCCCCUUAACCAAGUGCUGUGCUUCAAGCAGUACCCCCUGCCCCGAGCCCCACUUGCCCGUGGGCAGCCUCAGUGUGAGCCUGAGGAGGCUACUGAGGGUUCUUGAGGAUGCGGCCAUGGCGGAAGUCAUAGACAUGGCGGCAAAGAAACACCAGCUCAGGGUCCGUGUCCUCGGGCACUGUGCGGUGUGGCGGGGUGGAGUAGUCCGCAGAGGGGGGCACCAGUGCUGUCUUGCGGCUGGGGAGGCCCUCGCCUCGACGCUUGGCCAUGGCACAGAAUCUGCAGUGACACACCACCAUCUGCUGUCUUUACCACAGCCACCUUUGCAGGAAGAUCAAUUCCUUCCCCACCCUGCCCAGAGAGCUGGGGCAUCCCCUCCCACCCCCACAAGGGCUGGUGCUGCCUCCAUCCCUGUCCUGGGGGCUAUGCCCUCUCUGCCAACCGCCAGUCCAUCUUCUCUGUCACUGGGGAAGCACAUCUGCUGGGGCCUCCCUCCCAACACCUGCCAAUUCUCCUCGAUGGUUCUCUGAGAGCAGUACUGUAACCAUCCUCAACUCUGCCUCAACCACUCUGUCUUAGAGGAAGAACAAUUUUUCUUUCUUCUACAAACAUCAGAUGGUGGAAGGCUGUGAAGAAGAACAUUCUGGGAGGUCAGGCCCAGUGAAUGAGAUCCCCUUGGGAAUUUCAGCCCCCGAAACAGUCCUGGGGAGUCUGAGGGGAGAGGCUAGACAGAGGUGCAGGGUACCACCCACCUGCAGUACUCAGCAAAGGUCAGCACGUAGCACUUCUCCUCGAUGCAGGCCACACUGUUCUGGUCCUGAUGUCUCGAUGCAAAGACUUCAUUCUGCAAAGGCUCAAGGAGAGAGAGGAGGUUGUUGGUACCAGGACUGGAAGCACCUACCUCCAGUAGCAAGGUGGACAUUAACUCUUCUCCUGGGACUUGUGACCUGAGAUAACUCCAGCGAGUGCCCAGGAAGCCAGGGAGCAUCUCUGGAAUUCUGGCCUAACUGCUCCGCACCUAGUGCCCACCCCAAGGCACUCUUCCCUCCCUAGGUCCCUCCUACUCAGGAAUAGCCAGGGGCCUGUUCCAGCACCGCCCCCCAGCCCAUGUCAUCAGCCUCCUGACCCCCAGCUCAAGGGAGGAGAGGGGAACUGGUGCCCAUCUCCCCAUGAGAUGAAAAGUCCCAGCAAGGGAAACAAAGCGAAAGGGAGCUCAGACUGCGGGCGGAGUGACCACACCGAUGGCAGUAUCUCUCCUGGCACACAGCUGGGUAAAGUGCCCAAGAGUGUCUGGAGUCUCUUGUCUCCUCCCUCUCAUGCCACAGAUGGUAUCAAAGGGGGCCAGGUGUGCAGUUCCACCUCCCCUUUCCUGCUGCCAGGAGGACACAUCUACUUGCUCCCAUUCUGGCAUGCCCUUGGGGGCUUCCCUUCCUGUUCCCCUUUUAAGACAAAAGUUACUGUUCCCUUUAAAACAUGAAUUGGAUCAGUGUUGGGAAAAGAGGCUAAAACCCAGGCCCUUCCAUGGCAUCCAAGGCGACGAUCACGCGAUUGCCCAUGGCUGCCUCCCCAACCAUGUUCUUGGUGCCGCAGUUUCUCCCUCUGCCACCCCUGCCCUCCCCAACACACCUGCCAGGCGGCUCACCUCGUGCAUGCUGGGACUGCGGCCUCCCUGUAAGUGCUCUGGUCUGUAAUACCACAAGAGGCUCAUCAUCAGCUCUCCUAGGGGGACAAGAGAAGCAGUCAUGGCUUGAGCUGGCAACCCCAGAGUUACUUAGACAGGCAGGAAGGCUGGCCACCUGCCCUGCAGUCUCAUCCAACUUCAACGCCUGGGCCAAUCCUGCAGGCUCCAGCCACCCAUAUCCCCUGCCUCAGGCCAAGCCUGGCAGCUCAGUGGCCUGGAAUGCUGUCAGGCAUGGAGGAAGAAGGGGGAAAAGGCACUGACAGGUGGGGGGGGGACAGGUGCCUAGCCCUCGGUGGCGGGAAAGGUUAAAGAGCUGAUCCAACCCAAACCACAAG
rnacentral:lncRNA from 1 species